GUGGGGAAUAUUGGACAAUGGGGGAAACCCUGAUCCAGCGACGCCGCGUGAGUGAAGAAGUAUUUCGGUAUGUAAAGCUCUAUCAGCAGGGAAGAAAAAAAUGACGGUACCUGACUAAGAAGCCCCGGCUAACUACGUGCCAGCAGCCGCGGUAAUACGUAGGGGGCAAGCGUUAUCCGGAUUUACUGGGUGUAAAGGGAGCGUAGACGGCAGGGCAAGUCUGAUGUGAAAGGUCGGGGCCCAACCCCGGGACUGCAUUGGAAACUGUCCGGCUGGAGUACAGGAGAGGUAAGUGGAAUUCCUAGUGUAGCGGUGAAAUGCGUAGAUAUUAGGAGGAACACCAGUGGCGAAGGCGGCUUACUGGACUGUAACUGACGUUGAGGCUCGAAGGCCAGGGGAGCGAAAGGGA
rnacentral:rRNA from 1 species